GAUGAACGCUGGCGGCGUGCCUAAUAGAUGCAAGUCGAGCGAAUGACGAGGAGCUUGCUCCUCUGAUUUAGCGGCGGACGGGUGAGUAACACGUGGGUAACCUGCCUGUAAGACGGGGAUAACUCCGGGAAACCGGAGCUAAUACCGGAUGAUAACGAGAAGCGCCUGCUUCUUUUUUGAAAGUCGGUUUCGGCUGACGCUUACAGAUGGGCCCGCGGCGCAUUAGCUAGUUGGUGAGGUAACGGCUCACCAAGGCGACGAUGCGUAGCCGACCUGGGAGGGUGAUCGGCCAACCUGGGACUGAGACACGGCCCAGACGCCUACGGGAGGCAGCAGUAGGGAAUCCUCGGCAAUGGACGAAAGUCUGACCGAGCAACGCCGCGUGAGCGAUGAAGGCCUUCGGGUCGUAAAGCUCUGUUGUCAGAGAAGAACAAGUACCGGAGUAACUGCCGGUACCUUGACGGUACCUGACCAGAAAGCCACGGCUAACUACGUGCCAGCAGCCGCCGCGGUAA
rnacentral:rRNA from 1 species